GGGAUUGCCUUAGUAACGGCGAGUGAAGCGGCAAUAGCUCAAAUUUGAAAGCUGGCGUCUUCGACGUCCGCGUUGUAAUUUGUAGAGGAUGCUUCGGCGAAGACUCCUGCCUAAGUCCCCUGGAACGGGGCGUCAUAGAGGGUGAGAAUCCCGUAUGUGGCGGGCAGUCUAAGCCAUGUGAAGCUCCUUCGACGAGUCGAGUUGUUUGGGAAUGCAGCUCUAAAUGGGAGGUAAAUUUCUUCUAAAGCUAAAUAUUGGCCAGAGACCGAUAGCGCACAAGUAGAGUGAUCGAAAGAUGAAAAGCACUUUGGAAAGAGAGUUAAAAAGUACGUGAAAUUGUUGAAAGGGAAGCGCUUGCAACCAGACUCGCUCGUAGUUGCUCAGCCGGCCUCUUGGCCGGUGUACUCUUCUACGAUCGGGCCAGCAUCAGUUCGGGCGGCAGGAUAAAGGUGUCGGGAAUGUAGCACCCUUCGGGGUGUGUUAUAGCCCGGCGCGGAAUGCUGCCAGCCUGGACUGAGGAUCUCGCUUCGGCAAGGAUGCUGGCGUAAUGGUUGUAAGCGGCCCGUCUUGAAACACGGACCAAGGAGUCUAACAUCUAUGCGAGUGUUUGGGUGUCAAACCCAUGCGCGUAAUGAAAGUGAACGGAGGUGGGAACCCCUCACGGGGUGCACCAUCGACCGAUCCUGAUGUCUUCGGAUGGAUUUGAGUAAGAGCAUAGCUGUUGGGACCCGAAAGAUGGUGAACUAUGCCUGAAUAGGGUGAAGCCAGAGGAAACUCUGGUGGAGGCUCGCAGCGGUUCUGACGUGCAAAUCGAUCGUCAAAUUUGGGUAUAGGGGCGAAAG
rnacentral:rRNA from 2 species